AUCUUAUCUCAUGUAUUAUCUUCUUGAAUGACAGAAUUUUGAGCUCAACCAAGUUCAAAAUGUAAAUAUCUUGAUAUGUUGUUUGGUUUCCUUUGCUCAUGACAGUAAUAUGAUUAGUUUCUUCUGCAGUUAACUCAUCUCUUAUGAUGUGUUAAGUAAAGCAGGCAGAGGAAGGAAAGUAUAAUGCAUGUCGAGGCUAACUUCCAAGUAUCACUACACCAAGUGAUCAUGCAACUGAUCCAUCACUGGAGUAGUUUAAUUUAAUCCAUAGUUUAUAAGAACUCUACAUUGUCCCAUAAACACACUAGCUCACACACGCUAAUUAAAAAGGAAAAUGUUAAACAAAUGAGAUUUACUUAACUUAACUUCAAGAUUAUUAGAACAUUACUAGAAAGUGGUAGAUGAGCUUACAGACUCUUGAAUUUCCUCCUUGACAAUAUAAAAGGGAUCUUGAGCUGAAGACAUCUUUAACACCAAUUCUAGAACGUUUACCUGCACACAUCACAUAAUUGCACCAAAUAUCUCAAAUUGCUUAAACCGUAUUAUGACUAUAGAGACACAAUAGUAAUUUAGCAAGUAGUUUUUCCAGAAAAAUAUGAAAAUUAUCUAAAGGAUGAAUUCCAAAAAAAAAUACACUUAUUACAGGACCUGGUCCAAAUACAAACGAGAUCUGAAGAAAUAAUCAAAAAGAAGAAAGCUUUACCCACUAAAACUUUAUAUUCAGCGAUCCGUUUGAGUUUAUCAGAAUUCAAACUAAAUUGAUCCACAACGUGGAAGAUAACUUACAAUGGUUUUUAUUUCGGGAGAGAAAGACAAGGAAUCUAAAUCAGAGAGAGAGAGAGAGAGGAACCUGCUGCUUGAUUUCGUCGGAGUGGCCGGAGAAUAGACCGGAGAGAGCAGGAGACGGUGAGAGUAGUAGUUCUGAAUAGGCCACCAACCUGGGCUGGUAUCCAUUAAAGGAUGAUGCGCA
rnacentral:lncRNA from 1 species